UAUGAUAUAAUUUAACAUGAACUUAAGAUCUAAAAAUAAAAAUCUACAUCGAUCUAAUCGAUGCUGUAGACUAGAUCUAAUCCUUAGAUAUAUCAAAACAAGUAUAACAAGUUCAAAACUCGUUACCAGAUUAUGGAUUGCUGAUCUAUAUAAGUAUCUAUAUAAGAGAGAGUUCUUUCAGAGUGCUCAAAACCACAUGAAGAAGUUUGGCCUCUAC
rnacentral:lncRNA from 1 species